AUUGAACGCUGGCGGCAGGCCUAACACAUGCAAGUCGAGCGAGCGGCGGACGGGUGAGUAAUGUCUGGGAAACUGCCUGAUGGAGGGGGAUAACUACUGGAAACGGUAGCUAAUACCGCAUACCAUCAGAUGUGCCCAGAUGGGAUUAGAUAGGAGGUGGGGUAAUGGCUCACCUGGGCGAAGAUCCCUAGCGGGUCUGCGAGGAUGACCAGCCACACGGGGAGUGGGACACGGUCCAGGCUCGUACGGAAGGCAGCAGUGGGGAAUAUUGCACAAGGGGCGCAAGCCUGAUGCAGCCAUGCCGCGUGUAUGAAGAAGGCCUGAGGGUUGUAAAGUACUUUAAGCGGGGAGGCGUUACCCGCAGAAGAAGCACCGGCUAACUCCGUACCAGCAGCCGCGGUAAUAC
rnacentral:rRNA from 1 species